rnacentral:rRNA from 1 species
AUUGAACGCUGGCGGCAGGCCUAACACAUGCAAGUCGAGCGAGUGGCGGACGGGUGAGUAAUGUAUGGGAAACUGCCCGAUGGAGGGGGAUAACUACUGGAAACGGUGGCUAAUACCGAAUACAACCGGAAGAGCCCAUAUGGGAUUAGCUAGUAGUUUGGGCAAAGGCUCAACUAGGCGACUAUCCCUAGCUGGUCUGAGAGGAUGAGGGGCCACACGGGAACUGAACCACGGCCCAGAUCCUUACGGGAGGCAGCAGUGGGGAAUAUUGGAAAAGGGGGGAAACCCGGACGCAGCCAUGCCGCGUGUAUGAAGAGGUCCUUCGGGUUUUAAAGUACUUUCGGUAGGGAGGCGGUACCUAAAGAAUAAGCACCGGCUAACUACGUGCCAGCAGCCGCGGUAAUAC